rnacentral:rRNA from 1 species
UACGUAGGGAGCAAGCGUUGUCCGGAAUCAUUGGGCGUAAAGAGCGCGUAGGCGGUCCGGUAAGUCGGUUGUGAAAACUGGGGGCUCAACCCUCAGAGGCCGACCGAUACUGUCGGGCUAGAGUCCGGAAGAGGCGAGUGGAAUUCCUGGUGUAGCGGUGAAAUGCGCAGAUAUCGGGAGGAACACCAGUGGCGAAGGCGACUACCUGGCCUGUUCUUGACGCUGAGGCGCGAAAGCUAGGGGAGCAAACGGG